GUGGAGGUCAGAGGUCAACCUCUGUGGGGGGUUAAGUGGGUGGGGUCGGUCAGUUCUCUCCCUCCACCCCGGAGGUUCCAGGCAUCAAACUCAGGUCACCAGGCUUGUCCGCAAGCAGUUUUAUCUGCUGAGCUACGUCCGGCUCUGAAACAUUAGAAGAGUUUAAUCGGGAAAGGGGGCCUUGCAGGCAUAAUUGUUAAAGAUCUUGGGAUAAAGAUCAUUGAUUAGUGUGGCUUCUUAAUCCAAUGACCCCUGUCCUUGUCAGAGAUCUGAAGGACGAGAGAGGUACAAGAGGAGAAGGUUAGACCCCUGCAGCCACCAGGGAGGACAGAACCCACUGGAGUAAGGCAGAGAGGCGUUCCGGGAGCCUUUGGGAGGAUUGAAUCCGUAGACGAAUCAAUGAUGCUCUUCUUAUCUCGAGCUCCUUGCGGGUGCUGGCUAUGUCUGCUUGCUGACACCUUCAUUGCAGUCUUCCACCCUCCAACACAGUAGCAAGAUACCGUGUGGCGUUGCAAGGUGUCCUACCGGCAGUGAGGCAGUGAUUCGUUUGCAAGCAGCCCAGGAGGCUAAUUCACCCUUGACCUACCCACGCGGGAAUGUAACAACCUGCAGCUGAGCCACGGGAGUUCUGAGGAGAGGGAAGGUUCUUUAACAUUUGCCCUUGGGGCUGUUUGGGUUAGACACCAUUAAGGCCUUCUGCUCGGAGCUGGGAGAGCUGAGAUAAGUAGUUCUAUCUCUCUGAGCCUUGGCUCCUCCAUGUGCAAGAGCAGAGACCGCCCACCACCUCCCAUGCCCCGCCUACCUCCCCCACCUCCACCCCCAUCCCACAAGGGAGAUAGCGGGAUGCUCCGAGACCAUCUGCCAUCCCAGGAAUGCAGAGUUAAGCUUAAGAUUCAGUCCAGUCCCUUCCUGCCUUCCUAUCACAGCAAGCUGCUGCGUGUGGUUGGGGCCGUUUAUGGGGAUCUGAGAAGCUAAAUGGCCAGCGGUCUGUUGAACUGUGGCUGUGUCUUUUUUAGCACUGGGCUUUUUUGGAUAAAGCAAAGGCCCAGAGGGUGACUAGAUGGCUCCGUGGAUAAAGCACUUGCUCCACAAGCAAAAGGACCCGAGUUCAAUUCCCAGCAUCCAUGAAGAGAAAGUUGGGCGUUGCUGAAAUCCCAGCACUGAGAAGGCGCCUACAGGAACGACCACCUGCUCUGCAAAUCUGCCUCGUUGUUCCUCGAGAGGCUGUUGGCGACAGAAAGCCUGAAGAAUCAGCCUGGGGCUCCCAAGCGUGGUGCUUGGCCUGGAUGAAAGUGCCUAGAAGUGCUGACUCUCAAGCCAGCAGUAAGGACCUUGUGGUCGUUCCUUCUUCCUGUGUGUCUUUGCUCAGAACACUGCCUCGAUGACCUUCCUACUAACCACCGUCCCCUCUCCCCCAGAAAGGGCACAUCCCUUCCACUCAGUUAAAAGGAUUUUUUUCCCCCAAAGAGCCCAGGUCAUAUUUCAAACCGCCUCGCCAAACUGCUCUGUCCCAGGAGCCAGUGAAAGGGGGGCCUUGAACACCGUAUUUAUUUUGACUGGUUAAACAGGCUACGGCUGUAAAGGAAACAGCUCUCAGAAACGAGACCGCCUGGCCGACUCGGGGGCUCACUCUUUCUACCCACACACACAUACUGUUUAAAGCAUUCCAGAAACCCUGCCAACUUUCCUGGCACAGCUCGUAUUUCUUUACAUGCACGUUGCAUUCCGUCUGGUUAAUGUGCACUGUGCGCCAUUCUUGGAUCCUGGCGAGGCCUAGCAAGGUGGCAUGGUGUGCUCAGGCUUGCUCUAUGCAAAGCAGGGUAUCAGGAGGGGCGGAGCUUCGGAGGGACGGAGGCGUGGCGGGGGGCGGGGCUCUACCUCCCUUAGACCCAGGGGUGCCUGGAGUCCCAAAGUACCCAACUCUCUCCAGAUGUGACUGAAGCACUUCCUUUGUUUUUCUCUUUCGUUGGUGUUGGGGAUCAAAACCAGGACUCUGCACACUAUAGGCUACACUGCACUAUACACCGAGCCCCGCACCCAGCCCUUCGGCUUCAGCAAAAUCACAAGUGAGUCGUCCUUGCCCGCCCAGAGAGUUUGGGGAAUUACAGCUGCUCUGCCGCUUCUGGUACACGGCCAGGAAAAAACACAAGGAAGUGUGUGAGGCUAACAUUAGGAAGCCGCGGUACUGUUUUCGAAUGUGAGUUGGGUCCAGAGCCAUCCCAAAGUCCGGGAUGCCAACACCUAGGUCUGAUGGUUUCUGACACCUAGAGAAAGGCCCGUCUCCAUGUCCUUCUCCAGAGCCACUGAGGAUGUGCUGUGAUUUGGAUCCAACAUAAUAAUGCAUGUGGAAGCCAGGAAAGCCAGGUUUUAGGCAGUCUCAGAACAUCUGGUGAAUUCAGCUUGGGAAAAAAAAAAAAAAAAAAACGGGCAAAGGGAGAGAGGACAGAGCCCUCUGGAAGCAGUUGCCAGGUACUGGGUAUCCAAAAACAUUGUACGGGUUGACCCAAGUGUUCUCGCUUCCCUCCUCCCUAGUUAGUGGAAUGGAACCCAUGAGAUUGGCGAUGUUAGAAAUUCAGAGGAGAAAAAUGGCUCUUGGCACCAUUGGCAAACACAUGGAGGUCUAUGCCUGGACGACGAGGGGAACGCACGUCUCUCGGAGUUCCCGCCUGCGGUGCGAAUAGAAUGUUCCCGUUCAGAAGUGGAACUACUCACCUGGAUCCGACGCGGGUGACAUGGCACCCGGAGGCUUUAAAAAAAAAAUCUCGGUCCCUAAUGAGAAACAGCCGCGUGCGGAAUAAAAUUAGUGUGCGUUGUGUAAUCCCAGCUGGCCAGUUGCAAGAACGGGGAGGAGGCAGGCGCUGAGGGAACAGGCCCUGGAGCCCAUCCUGACCCUCUGGGUUGGAAUUUCUGAGUCUCUUCUUUGCCUUGAGUCAAAAUAGGAAACCGAACCCUGACCGCGUGCUUCUUUUUAUAGAAUCGAACUUUCUUGCCAGCUUCCUUCGGAGCGCAAGAUCGUCCCUCUUGGUCUCUAAACAAUACGCCAAUCAUCAGAUGUGAGUGAGGAGAGGGGAGGAGGGAGUUAGUGUUCUGGGAGCACCAGACAUAACCCAGGCCCAGGGCCCAAGACAAACACCGAGCCCCGAGUUUGGCUUCCGUACCAGACCUGGUAAAUACAACAUGUUUUUACAGGUUGGGAAA
rnacentral:sRNA from 1 species